GACGAACGCUGGCGGCGUGCUUAACACAUGCAAGUCGAACGGAAAGGCCCUGCUUUUGUGGGGUGCUCGAGUGGCGAACGGGUGAGUAACACGUGAGUAACCUGCCCUUGACUUUGGGAUAACUUCAGGAAACUGGGGCUAAUACCGGAUAUGAGCUCCUGCUGCAUGGUGGGGGUUGGAAAGUUUCGGCGGUUGGGUAUGGACUCGCGGCUUAUCAGCUUGUUGGUGGGGUAGUGGCUUACCAAGGCUUUGACGGGUAGCCGGCCUGAGAGGGUGACCGGCCACAUUGGGACUGAGAUACGGCCCAGACUCCUACGGGAGGCAGCAGUGGGGAAUAUUGCACAAUGGGCGGAAGCCUGAUGCAGCAACGCCGCGUGCGGGAUGACGGCCUUCGGGUUGUAAACCGCUUUCGCCUGUGACGAAGCGUGAGUGACGGUAAUGGGUAAAGAAGCACCGGCUAACUACGUG
rnacentral:rRNA from 1 species